rnacentral:rRNA from 1 species
CCCUUAGAUGUCCUGGGCUGCACGCGCGCUACACUGAUGUGUCCAGUAAGCACCUAACCUCUUCCGAAAGGAACGGGUAACCUUUGCAAAGCACAUCGUGAUGGGGAUAGAUUAUUGCAAUUAUUAGUCUUGAACGAGGAAUUCCUAGUAAGCACAAGUCAUCAGCUUGUGUUGAUUACGUCCCUGCCCUUUGUACACACCGCCCGUCGCUCCUACCGAUUGAAUGUUCCGGUGAGCUCUUCGGACUGCGCGGUCUGCAGUUUCUGCGUUCCGUGCGGAAAGUUUCGCAAACCUUAACAUUUAGAGGAAGGAGAAGUCGUAACA